ensembl:lncRNA
GAAGCAUUGAUCUGAUUCGAUGAGUCAAGAGGACAACUGGCCUGAAGGAACACAGUCUAUUUAUCUAGUAAAUAAACCCAUCACCAUUCCUCUGGAUGCCUCACAGCCCACUUAGCAGAGCUAGAGGCAGUAUAAAAGUUGCUUGGUUCUGUAGUCCAUCACUCGCUCAGAGUUGCGCUGUUGAACGUGUUAUCAGAACCAAGAAGGGGCCACUGCACAGAGAUGUGUUCCCGACAGAGCUCCGGAGGCUGCCACGAGUCAUCUUCCCAGUCCGGGGGAUGCUGCAGUGGGGGCAGCUCCUCCAGCUACCAGGCACAGGGCUCCUCCUGCUGCGGGGGCUCCUCGGGAUACAGCAUGGGAGGAGGAUACAGCGGUGGCAGUGGGGGAUCGAGCCAGAAGAUCAUCAUUAGCUCAGGAGGAGGAGGAGGAGGUUCGUCUGGAUGCUGUGGUGGAGGAUCCAGCAGUGGUGGGUCUUCAGGAGGCAAGAUAAUCAUUGGAGGAGGUGGAAGCAGUGGGGGAUCCUCUGGGUGCUGCAGUGGAGGCUCCUCGGGCUACGGAAUAGGAGGAGGAUACAGCAGUGGUGGUUACUCGGGAUCCAAGAGCAUCAUUGGAGGAGGUUCAUCUGGAUGCUGUGGUGGAGGAUCCAGCAGUGGUGGGUCUUCAGGAGGAAAGAUCAUCAUUGGAGGAGGUGAAAGCAGUGGUGGAUCCUCUGGGUGCUCCAGUGGAGGCUCCUCGGGCUACGGAAUAGGAGGAGGAUACAGCAGUGGUGGUUACUCGGGAUCCAAGAGCAUCAUUGGAGGAGGUGGAAGCAGUGGUGGAUCCUCUGGAUGCUGUGGUGGGGGAUCCAGCAGUGGUGGGUCUUCAGGUGGCAAGAUCAUAAUUACAGGAGGUGGAAGCAGUGGAGGAUCCUCAGGAUGCUGUAGUGGGGGAUCCAGCUACGGGGGUGGAUAUAGCAGUGGAUCAUCAGGAUCGAAGAGCAUCAUUGGAGGUGGAAGCAGUGGAGGUUCCUCUGGAUGCUGCAGUGGUGGCUCUUCUGGCUAUGGCACUUCAGGCUAUGGCUCUUCCAGGUAUGGCAGUGGGGGAUCAGGCCAGAAGAUCAUCAUUAGCUCAGGAGGAGGAGGAGGAGGUGGCUCAUCUGGAUGCUGUGGUGGGGGAUCCAGCAGUGGUGGCUCUUCAGGAGGAAAGAUCAUAAUUACAGGAGGUGGAAGCAGUGGGGGAUCCUCUGGGUGCUGCAGUGGAGGCUCCUCGGCCUACGGAAUAGGAGGAGGAUACAGCAGUGGUGGUUACUCGGGAUCCAAGAGCAUCAUUGGAGGAGGUGGAAGCAGUGGUGGAUCCUCUGGUUGCUGUGGUGGAGGAUCCAGCAGUGGUGGGUCUUCAGGAGGAAAGAUCAUAAUUACUGGAGGUGGGAGCAGUGGGGGAUCCUCUGGAUGCUGCAGUGGAGGCUCCUCGGGCUACGGCAUGGGAGGAGGAUACAGCAGUGGUGGUUACUCAGGCUCCAAGAGCAUCAUUGGAGGUGGAAGCAGUGGUGGAUCCUCUGGUUGCUGUGGUGGGGGAUCCAGCAGUGGUGGCUCUUCAGAAGGAAAGAUCAUCAUUACUGGAGGUGGGAGCAGUGGAGGAUCCUCUGGAUGCUGUAGUGGGGGAUCCAGCUAUGGAAUGGGUGGAGGAUCCAGUGGUGGUUAUUCAGGAUCCAAGAGCAUCAUUGGAGGUGGAAGCAGUGGAGGUUCCUCUGGAUGCUGCGGUGGUGGCUCUUCUGGCUAUGGCUCUUCUGGCUAUGGCUCUUCAGGCUAUGGCAGUGGGGGAUCAGGCCAGAAGAUCAUCAUUAGCUCUGGAGGUGGAGGAGGUGGCUCAUCUGGAUGCUGUGGUGGGGGAUCCAGCAGUGGUGGAUCUUCCGGAGGCAAGAUCAUCGUUGGAGGAGGUGGAAGCAGUGGGGGAUCCUCUGGAUGCUGCGGUGGGGGAUCCAGUGGGGGCAGUGGCGGUUCCUCGGGCCACACCAUCAUCAUCAGCUCCGGAGGAGGCAGUGGUGGGUACGGCCAGUCCUCGCAGCAGAAAUGCCCCAUUGUCAUUCCUCACAUCGAGAGCCACCAGACCAAGCAGGCCUGCUACUUUCCUGGCCAGCAGAAGUGACCGCCCCCGACAGCGCAGCACUCAGCAGGAACAGCCCUGCCUCUGUUUUCCAUGUUUGUCUGCUUCCCCACCAUGUGUCCUCUUCUCAAUCCUUGAUGCUCCAUUACUAUGCCAUGAACUCUGGGCUUAACAACGUUUUGCUCCGUGCUGGUGUUGUGAUUUCUUUGGUCAAAUUGUGCUCCAUUUUCAGUAAGGAUUUGUAGUACCUAAUAAAUAUCACGACAUCACAAUGUAGAUUUAUUUUUGAGUUUCUUUUUUUCUUGCUUUCUCACACAGCAUCUCAUCAUCUCAGAAGCAGGAAAUGUAUCUGAUAAGUUAGUUGACUCCCCCAUUGAGAUGUUCUGCAGUGCAUCAUCACAGCUCUAAAGCCAAUGCACCAUAGAGUCUAGAAGGCUGCUGCACCUUUUCUUUUCCUCUGGGCUCCAAAGUAGAGCAACAACACAUCCUAAAGCAUCAAACACCCACAGCUCCCAGCAUCCCCUUGACUCCUGUGUUGGUGGUGCCCUUUCACUGUCACCCCAGCUCAUGGCUCUGAUUCCUCUGAGGCAGCAGCACACAGUGUUGAUGCCCAUGGAGCAGCACAGAGCUGCUGGAUUGUGCAUCUGAGACUGUUGGGUUCCAACCUGAAGCUGUGGAAGCAGGAAAAGCCCGCAUUAACAGUUAUCACUGCCUAGAGUGGCUCAAUGCCAUGCCAAUGUCCAUGUCCUUGCUGUACACCUUCCCUCCCAGCUUUGCAAACCUCAGAGCAGCUCUGCCUGGUGGAAAGCCUCCCACGCUGGCUUGGCUGAAUGAGCCCUGGGCCAGCAGGAGGAAACAAAGCCAACAGCACAGCCCUUAGGCUGUGACAGCACACCACACUAUGCCUCCAGGUCUUAAUUCCUCCUUGUCCAUGUUUGGAAACCUGCUUUGAAAUGAAACACUCAAGGGCAG